rnacentral:lncRNA from 1 species
UGAAGAGUGUCCCACUGACUGGGGAUUUUUUAAAGGGUCUUCAUGCACCAUAUCUGCAGUACCAUCAGACAGUGGAGUGUACUGGUGUGAGUCUGGGUCUGGAGAACACAGCAAUGCUGUUAACAUCACAGUACAUGCCCUGUGCAACUGGGUCCUGGACUUCCUGAUGGGCCGCCCCCAGGUGGUAAAGAUAGGCAACAACACCUCCACCACGCUGAUCCUCCACCACGCUGAUCCUCAACACAGGAGCCCCACAAGGGUGUGUGCUCAGCCCCCUCCGGUACUCCCUGUUUAUCAAUGACUGCGUGGUCAUGCACACCUCCAACUCAAUCAUCAAGUUUUCAGACGACACAACAGAGGUGUAGGCCUGAUUAACAACAAAGACAAGACAGUCUACAUGGAGAAGGUGAGGGCCCUGGCGGAGUGGUGCCUGGAAAAUAACCUCUCCCUCAACAUCAAUAAAAUGAAGGAGCUGAUCGUGGACUUCGGGAGACAGCAGAGGGAGCACGACCCCAACCACAUUGACGGGCCGCAGUGGAAAAGAUGGGGCUGUGAUCCUGGAGAGCCCUGCCAUUCCUGUGACUGAGGGAUAUUUUGUGACUCUGCGCUGCGUAUAUGAAGACAAGAAAACGAAGAAAACAUUCUCAAACUUCAGAGCUGAUUUCCAUAAUGAUGGAUCCCUCAUCAUGACCAACACUACAGGGGAGAUGACCAUCCCUGCAGUAUCCAAAUCAGAUGAAGGGCUCUACAAGUGUAACAACACUAAAGGAGAAUCACCAGAGAGCUGGAUGACUGUGACAGUUCCAUCUUCAGCUCCAGGGCCAGCCCCAUCUCCAGCAGUCCCAGUGUGGUCCAUCUCUCUGCCCAGGCUGCUGUGUAGUCUACUAGUAGUGUCUCCUUACCUGCUGGUGACCAUCAUACUGGUGGUGAAAUGCAACAGCCGCAGGAGCAUGGCUCGAGCUCAAUCUGAUGAAGAGAAGAAAAGAUGUACUGUCAUCACAUAAUCAGGAUGGAAUGUUACGCAACAACACACUUUAUGGGAACCAUGUUGAUAUGGUCGGAGAGAGAGAGAGAGAGAGAGAGAGAGAGAGAGAGAGAGAGAGAGAGAGACAGACAGACAGACAGACAGACAGACAGACAGACAGACAGACAGACAGACAGACAGACAGACAGACAGACAGACAGACAGACAGACAGACAGACAGACAGACAGACAGACAGACAGACAGACAGACAGACAGAAGCCUGACUGAAGGAUGGGGGAGAGAAGAAGACCCCCCACACACACACAUAAACACACACAUACACUGUUACCAUGCACUUGUUUAUCAGAAUAGAGGAUGUGCUGCUGUGUGGCUGGUUGCAUAUGAGCAUAUGCUGUGGUUAACCACUUUCUCUGUCCUUUUGUCUUCUGCUGCCCCCUUCCCUCCCUG